GGAUCGGUCGUCGCAAAAGCAGUUUUUCUCAUCUCUUUAUCGCGCUUCACAUGGUUUCUAUGUUUAAAAGAUUCAUUGUUGUGGCAAUGCCCAUUGGCUUGUGCUUUGCUUUUUCGGGCUAUGCCAUUAGCUGAUUCCUCUGCUUUCUGACUACCAAAGCUAUGGCGUUGUGCUCGUGUGCAUACUUUUCCUUUCUCCUCUACGCUUAAGUUCA
rnacentral:misc_RNA from 1 species